rnacentral:rRNA from 1 species
UACGGGGGGAGCAAGCGUUGUUCGGAUUUACUGGGCGUAAAGGGCGCGUAGGCGGUCAGCACAAGUCAGUUGUGAAAUCUCGGGGCUUAACUCCGAAACUGCAUUCGAUACUGCCGUGCUUGAGGACUGGAGAGGAGACUGGAAUUUACGGUGUAGCGGUGAAAUGCGUAGAUAUCGUAAGGAAGACCAGUGGCGAAGGCGGGUCUCUGGACAGUUCCUGACGCUGAGGCACGAAGGUCAGGGGAGCAAACGGG